GCAUGCUGAUUAAGGUUGCUUGGUUUUUUACUAAACAUUAACUGAAUGAAAACGGGUAGUCCUUGUUCUGCUUGGGGGCUUUAAGGAAGCAAAUGGACUUUCAGAACAGAGAUUGUCAAUAAAGGAAUGUCCAUGUGGACUUCUGAAUGUCAUUCUCUGAGAAGAUGCCCAUGACACCAAGCACACUGGAGGUCAACACCAUCGUGGGUGAAGAUUUGCUGCAACUGAAUGCAGAUAUGCUGCUAUCUGUGCUCCUGGAUAUGGAGCUGUUCAUCUUUUCUCCAGAGCUGGAUGCAGGCCCAGGCUGCCAUGUAGCACUGAGCGAUGCCAUGGCAAUUUCAGACAAGGUCUUUAUUGCUGGAAAUGUUGCAUAAUGACAGCUUUAUUCAUGUGAAAACGCAAAAUACAUUUCAACUGUAUGAAAUUGUUUAUGUUCAUCAGAAAUGUUAUUUGUCUUCACAAAGUCUGGUUUCAAUGAACCAGCUAUGUAAUGGAUAUUAAAUAAACAUGGAAUUUUACAUGUUCAUAAUA